GCUGCGGUAGCCCAAUCCGGCAGAGGCCGCGGACCGAGAAUCCGCGUGGUGUGGGUUCGAGUCCCACCCGCAGCA
rnacentral:tRNA from 1 species